AUUGAACGCUGGCGGCAUGCCUUACACAUGCAAGUCGAACGGUAACAGGUCUUCGGAUGCUGACGAGUGGCGCACGGGUGAGUAAUACAUCGGAACGUGCCCAGACGUGGGGGAUAACGAGGCGAAAGCUUUGCUAAUACCGCAUACGAUCUAAGGAUGAAAGCAGGGGACCGCAAGGCCUUGUGCGUUUGGAGCGGCCGAUGGCAGAUUAGGUAGUUGGUGGGAUAAAAGCUUACCAAGCCGACGAUCUGUAGCUGGUCUGAGAGGACGAUCAGCCACACUGGAACUGAGACACGGCCCAGACUCCUACGGGAGGCAGCAGUGGGGAAUUUUGGACAAUGGGCGAAAGCCUGAUCCAGCAAUGCCGCGUGCAGGAUGAAGGCCUUCGGGUUGUAAACUGCUUUUGUACGGAACGAAAAGGCUCUGGCUAAUACCUGGGGCACAUGACGGUACCGUAAGAAUAAGCACCGGCUAACUACGUG
rnacentral:rRNA from 1 species